rnacentral:rRNA from 1 species
GGUUCGGGACAACCACUGGAAACGGUGGCUAAUACCGAAUGUGCCGAGAGGUGAAAGGCUUGCUGCCUGAAGAAGAGCUUGCGUCUGAUUAGCUAGUUGGUGUGGUAAAGGCGCACCAAGGCGACGAUCAGUAGCUGGUCUGAGAGGAUGAUCAGCCACACUGGGACUGAGACACGGCCCAGACUCCUACGGGAGGCAGCAGUGGGGAAUUUUCCGCAAUGGGCGAAAGCCUGACGGAGCAAUACCGCGUGAGGGAGGAAGGCUCUUGGGUUGUAAACCUCUUUUCUCAGGGAAGAAAAAAAUGACGGUACCUGAGGAAUAAGCAUCGGCUAACUCCGUGCCAGCAGCCGCGGUAAUACGGAGGAUGCAAGCGUUAUCCGGAAUGAUUGGGCGUAAAGGGUCCGCAGGUGGCAUUGUUUGUCUGCUGUUAAAGAGUUUGGCUCAACCAAAUAAGAGCAGUGGAAACUACAAAGCUAGAGUAUGGUCGGGGCAGAGGGAAUUCCUGGUGUAGCGGUGAAAUGCGUAGAUAUCAGGAAGAACACCGGUGGCGAAGGCGCUCUGCUAGGCCAAAACUGACACUGAGGGACGAAAGCUAGGGGAGCGAAUGGGAUUAGAUACCCCAGUAGUC